rnacentral:lncRNA from 1 species
GGAUUUAACGUUUUAGAUUCAUAUGUGUAUUUAGGAUUGAGCUGUAGCAUUUAGAUAUUAGACCGAGUCUAAAGACCGACUGAAAUUAUCUUUGAAAAGACGAUACCUGAAAACUAGAGUUUGCAAUAAACAGGUUAACACAAUACGAGAUCCUGAUGGAAAAUUAUUUUACAUUGAAGCUUUUCUCUUAGUUGUUUUGGAUGAUGUAUGGUUAUAAUGAUAGAUAAAGAGGGUAAUACAAUCUUUAAAUAAUAUGUUUACUGCAGCCUGUUUGUCUAUCGCGGAUUGAAACAACAGUUUUUGCCAUGUUUGCUGUGGUUUUAAAUAAUCUUCAGUGGGUGUAGUGGUUGUGCUGCUGGGAACUCUCCAAAUAAAUUUAUGAUGUCCAUCAAAUUCUUCAAACUGAUUCAUGUGAAUGAUGACAGAGAGCUCAUCGUGGCUCGUCGUGUCGAUGGCACUUGGAAAACACCAACAUCCUCCAGUUCUGGGUUGAAUUACACAGACCGGGUUGAACAUCAGUCCUCUUCCUCUCUCGUCUUAAGUCGUCUAAACUACAACGAUAACGGAUUGUACGAGUUCCUCUGCAGUGAUAAAGUUGUUGAUCGUAUCCAGCUGGACAUUGUGUUUCUCAUACCGGUUCCUGUGACUUUGGGGGACACAGCCACACUUUGGUGCCAUUUCAUGACUGCAGGUGGAUCAGAUGUGAAGUUUGUCUCCUGGGAAAAAGGAGGACAGCAGGUGGUGAGAGCGGACCUCUGGUCUGGGAAUGUGACUUAUGGACCAGGAUUUGAGACUAAUGUGUCUGUACCAUCAGACUGGGUCUCACAGGGAGACUUGACGCUGACUAUAAGUCGGGUUCAGCAGCAGGACCAGGGUGAUUACUACUGCUACACUCAUGAUAAAGAGGGAGAGAAGAGGCCUGGAAAUCCAGGUCCUGUGAGGUUGACAGUGAACCAGAGACUCUCUGCUCAGACCAGCACUCCGCAUCCUGUGUGUACUGAUGAAGACAGAGGAAUGGCUGCUUGGCUCGUAAUCAUCAUAACACUCGUGAUAUCUGUGGUUGUUGGAGCUCUCUGCUUUGGUCUCUACUGCUGGUGGACUAAAUCUGGUAGAUCAGAUGUCUCAUCUGGAUCAAGUACAAGUUCUGACACAGCCGUAAAGAUACCACUUUCCACUAAGACAGGCCGUACUGAUGCUCAGGUUAAUGGAAAUAGCUCUAGAGGAUGACUUCAGUAGUAAUGUAUAUAUCACCAGCUAUUAAUUAUCUUAUUACACUUUAACAUCAUUAUUAUAUUCCAGCUUUCUUUGCACCAUCAUGUUGUUUUUUUCUUAAUAAACCAUAUUGACUUUAGGCCUCGCUCACGCUCACCCUGUCUACCCUUGUAACCUACUUGUAAAUCGCUUCGGCCUAAAGCUUCUGCUAAAUGUAAAUCUCCACCAUCCUGUAAUUUCCUAACAAUAAACCAGAUGUUAU